rnacentral:rRNA from 1 species
UACGGGGGGGGCAAGCGUUGUUCGGAAUUACUGGGCGUAAAGGGCGCGUAGGCGGCCUGCUAAGUUGGAUGUGAAAUCCCUCGGCUCAACCGAGGAACUGCAUCCGAUACUGGCGGGCUUGAAUCCGGGAGAGGGAUGUGGAAUUCCAGGUGUAGCGGUGAAAUGCGUAGAUAUCUGGAGGAACACCGGUGGCGAAGGCGGCAUCCUGGACCGGUAUUGACGCUGAGGUGCGAAAGCGUGGGGAGCAAACAGG